CAUCACUCUUGCCUGAAAAGAACAAAAGAUCUUGCUCAUCACAAGUAUUCCCUGUGUCCAGAGUGCCAAACCCCAAGGACUUGCGCCUGAUAUUGCUCUCUGAGAGACUGGUAGUGGGCCUGGGUCACUCUGAGUCCAGAAACCUUGGGCUGACUUGUUGAGGUUUGUCACGCCCCAUGGAACUGUCCCUUGGGCCCCACAUGACUGCGAUCCCUGCUGUGCCCACCUUGCUUUUAAAGGUGGACUUUAGGGAAACUCUAAGCUCUGUGAGGAGGAGGGAUCCACCUUUCCUUCUAACCAGCUGGACCCCUCUGCUCUGCAAGGAUGUUGUCCCGGGGCACUAAUGGCACAAAUGGGCUGUGUUGGGGGAAGGACACCACCUGAGGCCAAGUCAGGGACCAAGACUGUGACCUCCUCCGGUAGCACAAGACUCCCGGCCUCGUGGAAUGGCCCCAGAAUGGUACAGCAGCUGCUGAGGUGAGAGGGGGGUGAACGAGGCGCUGUAGUUUGCGCAGGGCAACCCACUGACCAGUGUCAACGCAGGCAAGGAGCCAGGCUCAGCUGGCUCAACCUCUGAGCUUGCAUGACUAUAAAGCAGAGUUCGUGAGGCGAAAGUCAUUGUCCAAGCCAGAGCCUUCUCCCAGGGAACAAGUUACAGCUGUGCUCUUGGGAGAGACCUUCUGCCUUCACUCCCCUUUGUAGCCCUCUCCCACACACAGGAUCCAUGGCUCUUGACUCCAGGACUGGGUUACCACUAUAUGCUUGCACACAAUACGGGAGAGGCUUGCUGUUGACAGUCAGGGGCAGCAGAUACGACAUUCAUGGCAAACCAAGAGGAAUGGUGUUCUGGGACUCUUGAGCAAGCCCUGGGAAUGCAGUGAGGGCUGGCAGCAGGGCUGAGAAAGGCGCACUUGCCCUUUUAUGUUUUUGCCUGUCUGUGUGAGGGUGUCAGAAGCUUUGGAACUGGAGCUACAGACAGAUGGACCUACUAGGCUCAAGGAACCGAAGCUGCUUCAGGCAAAAUGCAAGUUUCAACCCAAGCAGCCUGUGCCGCUGGCCCUGUGAGCCCAGCUUCCUGUGACUUCUUACAGCACUUUGACUGGCUCUGCCUCGUUUCUUCAUCUUGGACAUGCAGGGGGACACCCACCCCUAUCCUGCAAGAACUCUGCAUCUUCAACAGACCAAAAAAUGGCUUGAAGGAGCUGGGCUGUGUGAGCCGGGCGAGUAGGCAAGGUGUGCAUCAGGCACAUUUCAAAUUGGAGAAAAGGUCUGUGGUGUUUGCGCGGCUGCCACCAACAGAUUCUUUUGUAAGCAGGAAAAUGGCUGACCCCAGAGCUCUCUCUCUCUCAGUGCGUGCCAAUGCCAGAUCCCUGUGGGGUUUGUCUAAACAGGCUGUGAGCAGUGGCUGCUCCCUGAUUCUAUCCACCCAAGCCCUGCAGCUCAGCCCCAGGCACUGGGACCAGAGUGCUCAGCCCCUGGCCCCCUGGGUCUUCCUAAGAGUCUGUGUGAUAUGACUGCUCUGAUCGGGAAAAUUCCUAGGUAUCCAUGUGGGCAAGCGUCAGCAGCCUGCAGAAUACACAUGAGUGUGUCUUCCUCCCUCCCUCCCUCCCUCCCUCCUC